GCCGCCGCGGAGCCGGCGUCCGCAGCGGCUGCGCAUCUCGGGCCUGCAGCGGGGCGCUUGGCGGGCGGGGGCCGGGGGAGAGCCUGUUUGCGCAGUACCCCCGGAGGGCGGAAGGCCGCCGAGGUAAGAGCCGGGACUCGGCCAGGUGGGAGUGGGCACCUUGGGCCGGGCCUGCAGGGCGGUCCCCGAGCGUCCCGGGGUAGGGUGGGCUCCCUGGGGACGAUGCCCAGGGCCCCGGCCGCGCUCCGGUCGCGCCCCACCCCGGCUGCAGCGCGGCCUUGGGGCGCUGCUGGCCUCGCCCUGUAGAGGGAGGGGGAAUAUUACCCGAAGGAGCUACAGCCACUGAGGCAGCUCCAGAGAUAGGGGCUGCGGAGCAAUCUUCAGGCUCACAGCCCAAGUUCAUAGAUGGUGAAUUGGCCAGGAAUGGUGGGAGAUGGGGGCUGUAGGGAAAUAGGGUAAUUUCCUUAGGACCCCUUCCUUCCAGCUUUGCAACCGUAGACCAAAAUUUGGGAUCUGGCAUUUGUCAAAUGUGCUUAAUUUUUUUUUCUUUCCCUUUCGGUUUGUUUUGUUUUUUAGAGAAACAGCAAGUGACAGAGCAGAGGAACGGCUGGCCCAGCCAAUCCUGGAGCUGCUGUUGCAGCACUUGUUCCCCAAACAAGUGCUCCUACAUUCUGGUAGGAGGACAGAGAGGAGGGGGCUACUGGUCCACACCCCUCCCCUGCCGAGGACCCCAUGGCUGCUCCCCUGCAGGAAAGGCAGCUAGGCUGCCUUAGGCCGGAUGGGCAGAGGCUGCCAUGGCCCAGGGUGGUGACGGUUUUGCGGCCCCUCCCUGCUGCCCAGAGUGGGAAGAAGAGCGCAGAGCCUGGCAAGUUUCUCUCUGUGUCCUCUGGGCUGGAAGGAGCAGGUAUAGACAGGGCCGAGGCAGCCAGGGCCUGGUGCUGCUUUGGCAUUGGUGGCAGGAGGGCUGAACCUCCAGCCCCUUGGGUUUGGUUCCACCCCUGGCCUGUCCCUGGCACUCGACAACUGCUCCUGUGUGCUUAUUGGUGCCACCAUGUUAUAUAACGCUUAUAUAAUCUUGCAACUGGGGGUGUCACUGUCUACCCUUCUGCAUCUGGAUCUCCUACUCAGACACAAGGAUUCCUCUGGUACCUUAAAUACAGCAACCACCCAACACACAAAUUGAAGGAGUGUGUCAGUGUCAAUUCCCGUAUUAAAUAAUAGUAAAAUUUAAUUUUUUGUAUUUUGGUAAAGUAUAAACAUUGUAAUAUUUUCUUCUUCAUCCUAGUGGAUCUGCUUAUACAUGCCACAUUAGAGAUGAUUGCUCUGAUUGUUUCUUCUAUAGUAACCUUGCUUCCCUAACAACCUUUGAUUGACAUAAAGGUUGAGUCUUGUCUUUUCUGUUGUUUAUAGUACCUGACAGUGCUGUGUUUCACUAAUAUUUGUUGACUGAAUAGUGCUGAGGAGUGUCCUGUUCUCUGACCUCAGUACCAUAAGGUCAUAUUUCUUGGACAACAAAGUCCAGUAGCAGAUUUCUUUGGUGGCUGCUAGAGCCAUUUCAUUAACAGUAUUGAAAGCUUUUGUGAUAUUAGAGAAACAGCUCUGUGGUCCUGUUACUGUUGGCUGUGCAUCCUUCUGCAUCUGACAGGUAGAAAGGGAUGGUGGCAGCUCUAGUCACUGCCAUGUUGUGAUUUAGGAAGUAGAUGGUUGUGUUCAGAUGCUCUGGAAAUGAGCUGGCAGAGAUUGCUAGAAGAGAUGGCUGUGGUAUCUAGAGCAGCCAGCUCUCUUCUUCAUGAGAGGGGUAUAUGUCUUUGAUGCAUUGUUUGAUGUCUUCCAUCAGUUUACAUGCUGAAAGUAUUGGUGCAGAUAUCUGAGAUGUAUGCUUCUCCUCCACCUGGAUAGUCCAGGAGGUAGGUCAGCCAGACACAUCUACUUGGGCGUUGUUUUUCUAACUUCCCUGACUGCAUGCACAAUUUGAAAGAUCAGCAGCUGGAAUGAGAACUGCAGGCUGUGGCUGAGGAACAGAGGCCCCAUGCUCUCUUUGCUGCAACAGAGACAUCUCCCAAGGUCCCCUGGACCCUGUGUUGCUGAGUCAGGCUUGCCCUGGUAUGCUAGUCUUGCUGCUUGGACCACUGGUGAGCCCAUCAGCAUUCAUGGAUUGAUGUGCAUUUACUUAGGAUGGCCUCUGUGAAAGAUUCUGUGUCUGUUUCUCUUUUUGGAUGGAGUGGGGUGGGGAUGGAGAAGGAAUAAGUGAGGUAGACAGAUACCUUCACCUAAAAUAGUGUGUAAAUGUGACACAAAUGAAGUGUAAGAAACUGUUGUAUUAGCCUUAAAUGGGGUUGGGAGCUGGAGGAUGUCUCUGGAAACACAAGGAAGAUCUCAUCCAUCUUGUUUAUGGCUGUAUCCUCAGAGCCUAGCAUGAUGCUUGGCCCCAUCAAGUGCUCAGUAAAUAGGUGUUUGUUAAUAAGUAAGUGUUCAAGGAUGAGAGGACUUCACCUGAAAGUUCAUGCCAGACCACCACAAAACUGAAGGAGGAAAUGGCUUGUUGGCAGAAGGAGGUUGGGAUGUUCAGAGAGAGUGUAAGUGGCAGAGGAAGGGCUGUGUAUUGGAGAGGUAGAGGCAGUCUUGGGAGGCCCUCGAUUAACUUUCUAAGAAUUUGGUUUUGGUGGCUCUUAACUUAUUUUCCUGCCAGUUCAUAUUAGAAGUUGCAUGGAAGCUAUAGUCUUAUAAGGAGGAAGAGCUCAGGGCUCCCAAAACUUUUUAUUUAGAGGGAAGAAUGCUAGGGAGAUGGGUAUGCAGAGGGUUGACCAAAUUGGAAGAAAAUAUUUAUUCUGUAGUUUGGUGUUGGAAAAGGGAAUUUUCCAAUCAGCCACACCUCAGUGUUGCGGCAAAAUAAUUCUUGGCUCCCCUGGAAACGCAUGGGCAAGGUAGGGCAGAGCUGCUGCUGCUGAUACUGCCACCACCCUGGGCUUCCUGCUGACUCUGGGCUACUCCCUGGGGACAACAGAUUUGCAUUGACGUCCGGGGCUGUCCAGAGGCCCUCAAGAGCCAGUUGUGAGCUGAGCCCAGUAUGGGAAAGAUCUACCUUCUGGAAGCUACUACUACGUGGUGCUUGGAAAGGUGAGGAUGGGGGACUGACCCCAGGAAAUUGCUCGAAACUCCGCAUCUGGUGGGAUUUCCAGAAAAGUCAGUGGGAGACGGAGGACUCAGGAGAGUGCAGCUUGCUCUGUGAGUGGGUGACAACCUCUUGGCGACUCAGGCUCAGCUGAGGAUGGUGCCAGUGUGCCGGAGACAGCCGUCAUACUGCCGGAUAGAGUGGCUCACUUGCAUGUAUUUGGAACAAAAAAAGGAGAUGCCUGGCAGCCCCGCUCUCUGCAGUUUGGUUGAGCUGUGUCUUGAGAGGCGGAGGCAGGUUGGUGGUGCUGGGGACAGGGCAGGCAUGUGUCAUGUGUUCAGCGCAUGUAGCUCCAGGGCUCGGGACUUGUUUACUUGGUGGAAGAGGCAGCGGACCUGCGGAGUCAGGCCAUGUGAUUGUUGGCUCUUUGGCUGAUCAUGGACAGCUGACCCGCCGGACUGCACACACUGCCAUCUGCUGCCAGGGGUCUGAAGUUUCCUUAAAGGCAGAGCAUAAUCCCCCACUCUUUAUAAGGGCUGGUAAGGCAGAGUAUUGGACAGCAGGACUUCUUGGCCAGUUAGCCCUCUUGAGUGACCUUUGUUUAAAUAGACCCAGAACUUGUAUGAAGGAGGAAAUAAUGGUUUAUCUUUAUUUACAGCGGAUUUAGCCAUGAUGGUUUAGGCUUUUUCUGGGGGUAUUCCUUUAGGACAGUUGAGGUUGGACAGGGGCAGCAUGCAUAUGUGUCUCUAAAUGUCUGUCCUUUGGUAUUUCCUGAAUGCAUCCUUGGCUCAUACUGAAACCCUGUGAUGGGGAAUCCACAGCGGAAUUGUUUUAGUGGAUAAAGCCUUCUGUAGCUUCAUGUGUGAAGAUUUGUCAUGUUGGAUCCAGUUCAUUCUGUCCACUUGAAGGAUGGAAAAGAGAGUGGGCAGAACUUGCAGCAAGGAGAGUGAUUUGGGCUAGACUUCUGGGAGAACUGUGCAUCACCUCUGCUGAGGGUUCCUGAGGAAAGAUGAAGCCUCUUUAUUUGAGGUAGGAGAAGCAGGGUUAGGUAACUGGGGACCAGUGUCUGUUUGUUCAGUGGGUUUGCCUAUGGAUUUCAGAAAGAAGGAUUCCCUCACCUUCCCAUUUUCCUCCCAUGUUAUUUUUUAGGUACCAUGCUAGGCUUUAAAGACAAAGCAUCAUUUAUAGAAUGAAGUAGAAGCUGUCUUUGCAGUCUCCAAACUAUUUUUAACCAACAGCCUAUAGAUGGUAUUUAACCCUCAGGUGUGUUUGGCCUGCACGGGUUUUUGUUUUUGUUUGAGACAGGGUUUCACUCUGUAGCCCAGGCUGGAGUGCAGUGGCACGAUAUCAGCUUGCUGCAACCUCUGCCUCCCGGGCUCGAGCAGUUCUCAUGCCUCAGCCUCCUGAGUAGCUGGGACUACAGGUGCCACCACACCUGGCUAGGGUUAUUUUAAUGUAUCUGAUUUUGCAUGCAUUUAGACAAAAUAUGGCCUCUCCAGUUCACUGUAUUUCUGCUGCAUGCUGUUGCUGCUUCUCUGUCUCAGGUUUCCUGCCCAAGCCCUCCGAGCAUUUGAAUGUGCUGUGAGCAGCCUACCUCAGCCUCCUCUCUUUACACAUGAAGACACUGAGGCCCAUUCAGGGCAAGUGGCAGGUCCCUGUUUAAGGAAGAGUGGCUAAAAUGAAAAGCAGAAAAGUGAGAAUCUCAUCAAAUCCCCUCAUUUGACAGGAUUUGGACUCCCAGUAGUAACUGUCCUUAAACACUCACUCCUGACCUUACAACCCUGGCUGUUACCUGGUUAACAAGCCCCAGGUGUUGGCUACAGGUGUCAUCACUGAGAGCCCUUGUGUGCAGAUCUGCCCCAGCUCUCCCACCUGUGACUGAGGCUAGCAAGUCCCCCGUGGGCUGUAGAGCCUAGCGCUGGUGUCAGAAUCGCUUGUUGCAGGUUCAUCUUCAGUGUCUUUCCCACAGCCACAUGCUGGGGAAAGACGGCAAAGGCGCUAGAGGAGCAGGAGAACAAAGCAAGCUGCCCCAGACCACCCGGCUUUCGCAGAACCCAGAUGAUGCUCCUGUCUCCCCCUAAGUAUAACGUGUUAUGUAGUCAGUAUGAUCCCAUUCAGUGCAGAAGUAUCGCCUAGGAAUUUCCUGCCCCACCCACCCUGUUUUGUUCUUAAUGAAGUUCAAGAACAAAAUGAGAUGAUAGUCAAGUUAUGGAGCAGGCUGCAGUGGAUACAAGGGCAGAAACACAGUCUUUGGAGUUAGACCUGGGAUCUGCAUUGAUUGGUUGUGUGACUGCAUAGAAUUAACCUAGAAUUAAUGAGUUUUGUAUUGCUCUCAUCUAUUUGAAGCAUCAGCUGUGCCUUUCAUGUUGCCUUGUGCAGCCCUGUGUAACCUCCUCUGUGCCUUUCCCAUGGAGCACUGUGUCAUAUCACAAGUAGAACUACAAGAAGAUAUUUCUCCUCAGGGCAGAGGCUGGGUCUUCCGAUUGAAUCUCCCUUCUUUCUUCAUUGAGAUCCUCUUCUUCUGGAAGCUGGUUUCACAUGGUGGCUUAGAUUUUUCCAUCUUUGUAUCUAGCACCAUUUGAAAUCAGUGUUUUAGGAGUAAGAAUUGCAGCACAGCCAAGGGUGGACUGCAGAGGAACUGCUGCUCAUGGAACUGGCUCCUCUCCUCUUGCCACUUGAGUCUGUUCGAGAAGUCCAGGGAAGAACUUGAAGAGCAAAAUACACUCUUGAGUUUGUUGGGUUUUGGGAGAGGUGACAGUAGAGAAGGGGGUUGUGUUUAAAAUAAACACAGUGGCUUGAGCAGGGGCAGAGGUUGUGAUGCUAUUUCUGUUGACUCCUAGCAGCCAUCACCAGCAUGAAUGUGUUCGUAGGGCCUUUGAGUGUGGCGAUUGUCAUAUUCUGUUGGAUAACAAUGUAUUGGGUGUCGAUUGUCAUGGGGCAGGGGAGAGGGCAGUACACCUGGAGGACCAUUUUGUCCACAUCGACACCAUCAGUCUGCUCUUAGAGGAUGCCCUGGAGUAUUCGGCGUUGAUUGCGGGGCACCCGAAAUCAGACUUGCCACCUGGACUGUCGAGGUGCAGACCCUGGGAGCACCACUGGCCCAUCUCUUACACAGGCUGACCGAUUUCUCCUGGUGUUCAGAGUCUGUUUUUGUCUAGCACCAUUUGAAAUCGGUUAUGAUGUAGGGGGAAAAGCAGCAGCCUCGAAGCCUCAUGCCAACUCUGGGCAGCAGCAGCCUGUGGUUUCCUGGAAGAUGGAUGGGCAGAGAAUAGGGAAGGAAGAUCAUGCUUUUCCCUACUAACUUCUGUAACUGCAUGUAUGAUACAUUAUUGCAGAGGUAAGAGAUAGUUUAAUGGAUUUUUAAAAACAAAUUACUAUAAUUUAUCUGAUGUUCUCUAGUUGCAUUUUGCUGAAAUGUAGUGCUGUUCUAAAUUCUGUAAAUUGAUUGCUGUUGAAUUAUCUUUCUGUUGAGAAGAGUCUAUUCAUGCAUCCUGACCUUAAUAAAUACUAUGUUCAGUUUA
rnacentral:lncRNA from 1 species